rnacentral:lncRNA from 1 species
UCUGGGCCCAACGCAGGAGGCCCUCAGCACCCGAAAACAUCUUCCUCCUCCCCACCCGAGCCUGGAGCACUCUAACCCUCGGAGACCCCCUAAGCCCCGUUCCUCCGCAGACCCAGGCCCUCCGGAAGGGGAAGUCGGGGUCAACUCCCAGGCCUCAGAUGCAGGGGCCCAGAACACCUGCUCUCACCUGAGCCCCAGGUGAAGGGGCCUGGAACACCUCCUGUCACCUGAGCCCCAGGUGAAGGGGCCCGGGAACACCUCUCACCUGAACCCGGGGGUCCCAUCCCAGGAAGAAGGGCCAUCUCAGGACAUGAGUCCUCAGGGGCCCUGCACAUUCAAUCUGAAGGUGACCCUGGCCUGGCUGAAGCUGGAAGAGCUGUGGGGACUCAGCCUGUAAACAGAGCGUAAGGUUCACAUGCUGGUUGCUUAAUCCGUUUCUGGAGGAAAAGUAUGACCCCCACUUGUGAUGGGGUCCUUGUGCGGUGGGGACCGGGGCCGGCGGGCUCCAGGCCAGCACACCUAACCCAUGGAUGUGGAACCUACGGCCCAGAAGGAAUGUUGCAUGAGUCGGAUCCCAGUCCAUUGUCAGUGGAGGGUGAGGGUGACCCCAUCUGAUAUUUUUGUGCUCAUCCUCAUACAACCAUUUGGGGAUGUGCCUAUUAGGGCUCCGUAAGAGCUCAGAUGCCUGGGAAGCCCAGCCCCUCAGGUGCCCCCACACACAGCCUUCCCUUGACGCCUACAUUUCUAGGCACAUGUGAGGCAUCUUUCCUGGAGCCCCGAGCCAGCCCUGUCCCUCCCCAGUGCAGCAUGGCACUCAGGAGAUACAGGCUGGACAUGGGGCAGUCGUUCUGGGGAG